GCCGUCAUACAAUUGUCUUGAAAAACAAGAAACAACAAAUUUUCAAAAGAAAAAAAUAAACAAAAAAAAAUUCUUUUCCCACAUUUUUGGCAUUAUACUUCCUUAAUCCGACGACGGUUAUAAUUCCGAUCAAUAUGAUGAUGUCACGUGCUGCAACCAGAGCCGCACGAUCAAUGGGCAUGGUGGCGCCACGCUACUUCUCCGCCGCCACCACCGCCGCAGCCGCCGCAUUACUCCGUUCUAACGAAGCGGCGGCGUUUAAGCUUCUAAAUAGGGUAAGUCACGUGAGUGGAGGCUCUACUCAUGUGCCUGGAAUGGUCGCAGGGUUUAUCCGGUUUCCGGUGAGGCAUAUGAGUACGGCAGCGUUGCAUGAUACCUCGGAAGAUAAAGAGGUUAAGAAGGAGAAGAAGGCGGAAACCGGCUCAGCCGGUGGUAGUGGUGGGGCUGAUGAUAAGGCGGUUGUGAGUUAUUGGGGAGUUCAGCCUAAGAAGAUCAUGAAGGAAGAUGGUACUGAAUGGGGAUGGUCUUGUUUCAUGCCAUGGGAGACGUACAAGGCAGAUAUGUCAAUUGAUUUGGGGAAGCAUCAUGCGCCAAAAACAUUAAUGGACAAAAUGGCUUAUUGGACUGUUAAGGCUCUUCGUUUGCCCACUGAUAUUUUCUUUCAGAGGAGGUACGGAUGCCGAGCAAUGAUGCUAGAAACAGUAGCAGCAGUACCAGGAAUGGUAGGAGGAAUGCUUCUCCACUGCAAAUCCCUUCGAAAAUUCGAACAAAGUGGUGGUUGGAUCAAAGCACUCUUAGAAGAAGCAGAAAACGAACGUAUGCAUCUCAUGACUUUCAUGGAAGUUGUAAACCCUAGAUGGUAUGAACGUGCACUGGUUUUUACAGUCCAAGGUGUCUUCUUCAAUGCCUACUUUCUCACUUAUAUCAUCUCUCCUAAACUUGCUCAUCGUGUUGUUGGGUACCUUGAGGAAGAAGCUAUCCAUUCUUACACUGAGUUUUUGAAAGAGAUUGAUAAUGGUAAUAUUGAGAAUGUUCCUGCUCCUGCUAUUGCUAUUGAUUACUGGAGGUUGGCUAAAGAUUCUACUCUUAGGGAUGUUGUGAUGGUAAUUAGGGCUGAUGAAGCUCAUCACCGCGAUGUUAAUCACUUUGCAUCUGACAUUCACUGUCAAGGUCGUGAACUGAAGGAAGCUUCUGCUCCUGUUGGUUAUCACUGAAAACAGAUCGAUCGAGAAUUGUCUAGCCUAUUCAACAGCUAAUAAAAAUCAAGAUUACAGUUACAGAUUAUGAAGAGUACUAGUAAUAUGUUCUCUUGAGUAAUGUCCAUAUUGCUAGGUGACUGAAUGCUGCAGAAAGCCAGGGAAAUAAUUAAGUCUCUGACUCUCUGGUAUGCAUGCUUUUAUCCCAUCUUUUGCAGCCUGGUUUUGGUUUUGGUGUAUGUAAAAUUGUACAUAUAUAGUUUUUGCCUUCUCUUGUUUAGAAUGUGGAACACCCCUCAUUUUAUCUUGCUUUGCUACAUCGUUCACAUACCAGAUGAUUGUCCGGUAACUGAAUGAUGCAGAUGUUGAGAAGACUGACCCACACGUGAAAAAAAUAGAGAGAGAUUGACUAUUGUAUUGAGAUAAUAUCAUAAUAUGAAUAUAUAUCCUUCAUAUUAUUUUACCAACUAUGUAAAUAUAUCCUUUAUAUUAUGAUAUUAUCUCAAUAUAUCGGUGGGUGGGCUAUUCCACCUAUCAUCAAUUGCUUUUAGGAAGGAACCCGGUCAUGCUUAUAUACGGUCAGACUCUCCUCCAACAUUGGGCUUGACUUGGCCCAGUGGAGUUUAUCGGCAGAAAGCCAGGGAAAUAAGUCUCUGGUAUGCCUUUAUCCCAUCUUUUGAAGCUUGGUUUUGGUGUAUCUAAAUAGUUUUGCCUUCUCAUGUUUAGAAAGUAGAACACCUCCUCCAUUUUGUCUUAAUUAUUUAUUAAUUACAGAGUAUUGAUUAGUACAAGUUAUAUAUCAGCUGCACAGAACAAGGUAAACAGAGAUUCUGAAAAUUAUCAGCUGUAAAGACUGCAAACAUAGAGUACCAAAACUUGCAGAAAAUUAGCUGCUGAUGUUAUUGUUACUGACUGAUUGACUAGGAAUGCUGCAGUCUCUUCAGAAAGGUGCUCUAAACAGGAUCAUUGUCGCGUUUAUGCAACUCUAAGAACUGAUUAUAGAAUAUAGAUUGAUGUUAUGGGAUCAGAAUCAAGUUCAUGAUGUAACUUUUGUUAAGAGUGAUUUUCGUUUGGAAUCUCUUCUAGUCUUGUAGGAAAAUGGAAAACUCUACUGGUGUAAUAUUGUUAGCUUUGCUUUGUUUAGCUUAAAUGAUGUGA